rnacentral:rRNA from 1 species
GUCUGCCUACGGGGGGCAGCAGUAGGGAAUCUCCCACAAUGGACGAAAGUCUGAUGGAGCAACGCCGCGUGAGUGAAGAAGGGUUUCGGCUCGUAAAGCUCUGUUGGUAGUGAAGAAAGAUAGAGGUAGUAACUGGCCUUUAUUUGACGGUGAUUACUUAGAAAGUCACGGCUAACUACGUGCCAGCAGCCGCGGUAAUACGUAGGGGGCAAGCGUUGUCCGGAUUUAUUGGGCGUAAA